rnacentral:rRNA from 1 species
GUAGGUGGCAAGCGUUGUCCGGAAUUAUUGGGCGUAAAGCGCGCGCAGGCGGUUCUUUAAGUCUGAUGUGAAAGCCCACGGCUCAACCGUGGAGGGUCAUUGGAAACUGGAGAACUUGAGUACAGAAGAGGAAAGCGGAAUUCCACGUGUAGCGGUGAAAUGCGUAGAGAUGUGGAGGAACACCAGUGGCGAAGGCGGCUUUCUGGUCUGUAACUGACGCUGAGGCGCGAAAGCGUGGGGAGCAAACAGGAUUAGAUACCCUGGUAGUCCACGCCGUAAACGAUGAGUGCUAAGUGUUAGGGGGUUUCCGCCCCCCUUAGUGCUGCAGCUAACGCAUUAAGCACUCCGCCUGGGAGUACGGCCGCAAGGCUA